UUACGGCCAUAUCAUAUUGAAAUAUCGUUUCUCGUACGAUCACCGUAGUUAAGCAAUGCCAAGCCUGGUCAGUACCUAGAUGGGUGAGUGCUUGGGAAUACCAGGUGCUGUAA